rnacentral:rRNA from 1 species
AUUGAACGCUGGCGGCAUGCUUUACACAUGCAAGUCGAACGGUAACAGGCCUUCGGGUGCUGACGAGUGGCGAACGGGUGAGUAAUGCAUCGGAACGUGCCCAGAGGUGGGGGAUAACGCAGCGAAAGCUGUGCUAAUACCGCAUGUGAUCUGAGGAUGAAAGCGGGGGACCAGGCAGCAAUGUUUGGCCUCGCGCCUUUGGAGCGGCCGAUGUCAGAUUAGGUAGUUGGUGGGGUAAAGGCCUACCAAGCCGACGAUCUGUAGCUGGUCUGAGAGGACGACCAGCCACACUGGGACUGAGACACGGCCCAGACUCCUACGGGAGGCAGCAGUGGGGAAUUUUGGACAAUGGGCGCAAGCCUGAUCCAGCAAUGCCGCGUGCGGGAAGAAGGCCUUCGGGUUGUAAACCGCUUUUGUACGGAACGAAAAGGCUCUGGCUAAUACCUGGGGCUGAUGACGGUACCGUAAAAAUAAGCACCGGCUAACUACGUG